rnacentral:rRNA from 1 species
UACGAAGGGUGCAAACGUUGCUCGGAAUUAUUGGGCGUAAAGCGCGCGUAGGCGCUACUUAAGUCGGAUGUGAAAGCCCCUGGCUCAACUGGGGAAGUGCACCCGAAACUGAGUAGCUAGAGUACGAAAGAGGGUCGCGGAAUUCCCGGUGUAGAGGUGAAAUUCGUAGAUAUCGGGAGGAACACCGGUGGCGAAGGCGGCGACCUGGGUCGAUACUGACGCUGAGGCGCGAAAGCGUGGG